rnacentral:lncRNA from 1 species
UAGGGUUGGAGUUAGGGUUAGUGUUGGACCUAGGGUUAGGGUUGGGCUUGGAGCUAGGAUUUUUCUGAGUGCAAUGAACCAACUCCCGAGUCUCUAGGACGUUCCUAAACAAAUUUGAUUUUUUCCCAUAGGAAUGCAUGGGUUAGGGUUAGGGUUAGGGUUGGAGCUAGGGUUAGGGUUAGGGUUAGGGUUGGAGUUAGGGUUAGUGUUGGAGCUAGGGUUAGGGUUGGGCUUGGAGCUAGGAUUUUUCUGAGUGCAAUGAACCAACUCCCGAGUCUCUAGGACGUUCCUAAAAAAUUUGAUUUUUUCCCAUAGGAAUGCAUGGGUUAGGGUUAGGGUUAGGGUUGGAGCUAGGGUUAGGGUUAGGGUUAGGGUUGGAGUUAAGGUUAGUGUUGGAGCUAGGGUUAGGGUUGGGCUUGGAGCUAGGAUUUUUCUGAGUGCAAUGAACCAACUCCCGAGUCUCUAGGACGUUCCUAAAAAAAAUUGAUUUUUUCCCAUAGGAAUGCAUGGGUUAGGGUUAUGGUUAGGGUUAGGGUUGGAGCUAGGGUUAGGGUUAGGGUUAGGGUUGGAGUUAGGGUUAGUGUUGGAGCUAGGGUUAGGGUUGGGCUUGGAGCUAGGAUUUUUCUGAGUGCAAUGAACCAACCCCCGAGUCUCUAGGACGUUCCUAAAAAAAUUUGAUUUUUUCCCAUAGGAAUGCAUGGGUUAGGGUUAUGGUUAGGGUUAGGGUUGGAGCUAGGGUUAGGGUUAGGGUUAGGGUUGGAGUUAGGGUUAGUGUUGGAGCUAGGGUUAGGGUUGGGCUUGGAGCUAGGAUUUUUCUGAGUGCAAUGAACCAACUCCCGAGUCUCUAGGACGUUCCUAAAAAAAUUUGAUUUUUUUCCCCNNNNNNNNNNNNNNNNNNNNNNNNNNNNNNNNNNNNNNNNNNNNNNNNNNNNNNNNNNNNNNNNNNNNNNNNNNNNNNNNNNNNNNNNNNNNNNNNNNNNNNNNNNNNNNNNNNNNNNNNNNNNNNNNNNNNNNNNNNNNNNNNNNNNNNNNNNNNNNNNNNNNNNNNNNNNNNNNNNNNNNNNNNNNNNNNNNNNNNNNGUCUCUGAGGACAUUCCUAAAAAAAAUUUGAUUUUUCCCAUAGGAAUGCAUGGAGUUGGGGUUAGGGUUAGGGUUGGAGCUAGGGUUAGGGUUAGGGUUGGGGUUGGAGUUAGGGUUAGUGUUGGAGCUAGGGUUAGGGUUGGGCUUGGAGCUAGGAUUUUUCUGAGUGCAAUGAACCAACUCCCGAGUCUCUAGGACGUUCCUAAAAAAAUUUGAUUUUUUCCCAUAGGAAUGCAUGGGUUAGGGUUAGGGUUAGGGUUGGAGCUAGGGUUAGGGUUAGGGUUAGGGUUGGAGUUAGGGUUAGUGUUGGAGCUAGGGUUAGGGUUGGGCUUGGAGCUAGGAUUUUUCUGAGUGCACUGAACCAACUCCCGAGUCUCUAGGACGUUCCUAAAAAAAUUUGAUUUUUUUCCCAUAGGAAUGCAUGGGUUAGGGUUAUGGUUAGGGUUGGAGCUAGGGUUAGGGUUAGGGUUAGGGUUGGAGUUAGGGUUAGUGUUGGAGCUAGGGUUAGGGUUGGGCUUGGAGCUAGGAUUUUUCUGAGUGCACUGAACCAACUCCCGAGUCUCUAGGACGUUCCUAAAAAAAUUUGAUUUUUUCCCAUAGGAAUGCAUGGGUUAGGGUUAGGGUUAGGGUUGGAGCUAGGGUUAGGGUUAGGGUUAGGGUUGGAGUUAGGGUUAGUGUUGGAGCUAGGGUUAGGGUUGGGCUUGGAGCUAGGAUUUUUCUGAGUGCACUGAACCAACUCCCGAGUCUCUAGGACGUUCCUAAAAAAAAAUUUGAUUUUUUCCCAUAGGAAAUGCAUGGGUUAGGGUUAGGGUUAGGGUUGGAGCUAGGGUUAGGGUUAGGGUUAGGGUUGGAGUUAGGGUUAGUGUUGGAGCUAGGGUUAGGGUUGGGCUUGGAGCUAGGAUUUUUCUGAGUGCACUGAACCAACUCCCGAGUCUCUAGGACAUUCCUAAAAAAAUUUGAUUUUUUCCCAUAGGAAUGCAUGGGUUAGGGUUAUGGUUGGGGUUAGGGUUGGAGCUAGGGUUAGGGUUAGGGUUAGGGUUGGAGUUAGGGUUAGUGUUGGAGCUAGGGUUAGGGUUGGGCUUGGAGCUAGGAUUUUUCUGAGUGCACUGAACCAACUCCCGAGUCUCUAGGACAUUCCUAAAAAAAAUUGAUUUUUUCCCAUAGGAAUGCAUGGGUUAGGGUUAUGGUUAGGGUUAGGGUUGGAGCUAGGGUUAGGGUUAGGGUUAGGGUUGGAGUUAGGGUUAGUGUUGGAGCUAGGGUUAGGGUUGGGCUUGGAGCUAGGAUUUUUCUGAGUGCACUGAACCAACUCCCGAGUCUCUAGGACAUUCCUAAAAAAAUUUGAUUUUUCCCAUAGGAAUGCAUGGGUUAGGGUUAGGGUUAGGGUUGGAGCUAGGGUUAGGGUUAGGGUUAGGGUUGGAGUUAGGGUUAGUGUUGGAGCUAGGGUUAGGGUUGGGCUUGGAGCUAGGAUUUUUCUGAGUGCACUGAACCAACUCCCGAGUCUCUAGGACAUUCCUAAAAAAAUUUGAUUUUUUCCCAUAGGAAUGCAUGGGUUAGGGUUAGGGUUAGGGUUGGAGCUAGGGUUAGGGUUAGGGUUAGGGUUGGAGUUAGGGUUAGUGUUGGAGCUAGGGUUAGGGUUGGGCUUGGAGCUAGGAUUUUUCUGAGUGCACUGAACCAACUCCCGAGUCUCUAGGACAUUCCUAAAAAAAUUUGAUUUUUCCCAUAGGAAUGCAUGGGUUAGGGUUAUGGUUAGUUAGGGUUGGAGCUAGGGUUAGGGUUAGGGUUAGGGUUGGAGUUAGGGUUAGUGUUGGAGCUAGGGUUAGGGUUGGGCUUGGAGCUAGGAUUUUUCUGAGUGCAAUGAACCAACUCCCGAGUCUCUAGGACGUUCCUAAAAAAAUUUGAUUUUUUUCCCAUAGGAAUGCAUGGGUUAGGGUUAGGGUUAGGGUUAGGGUUGGAGCUAGGGUUAGGGUUAGGGUUAGGGUUGGAGUUAGGGUUAGUGUUGGAGCUAGGGUUAGGGUUGGGCUUGGAGCUAGGAUUUUUCUGAGUGCAAUGAACCAACUCCCGAGUCUCUAGGACGUUCCUAAAAAAAUUUGAUUUUUUCCCAUAGGAAUGCAUGGGUUAGGGUUAUGGUUAGGGUUAGGGUUGGAGCUAGGGUUAGGGUUAGGGUUAGGGUUGGAGUUAGGGUUAGUGUUGGAGCUAGGGUUAGGGUUGGGCUUGGAGCUAGGAUUUUCUGAGUGCAAUGAACCAACUCCCGAGUCUCUAGGACGUUCCUAAAAAAAUUUGAUUUUUUCCCAUAGGAAUGCAUGGGUUAGGGUUAGGGUUAGGGUUGGAGCUAGGGUUAGGGUUAGGGUUAGGGUUGGAGUUAGGGUUAGUGUUGGAGCUAGGGUUAGGGUUGGGCUUGGAGCUAGGAUUUUUCUGAGUGCAAUGAACCAACUCCCGAGUCUCUAGGACGUUCCUAAAAAAUUUGAUUUUUUCCCAUAGGAAUGCAUGGGUUAGGGUUAGGGUUAGGGUUAGGGUUGGAGCUAGGGUUAGGGUUAGGGUUAGGGUUGGAGUUAGGGUUAGUGUUGGAGCUAGGGUUAGGGUUGGGCUUGGAGCUAGGAUUUUCUGAGUGCACUGAACCAACUCCCGAGUCUCUAGGACAUUCCUAAAAAAAUUUGAUUUUUUCCCAUAGGAAUGCAUGGGUUAGGGUUAGGGUUAGGGUUAGGGUUGGAGCUAGGGUUAGGGUUAGGGUUAGGGUUGGAGUUAGGGUUAGUGUUGGAGCUAGGGUUAGGGUUGGGCUUGGAGCUAGGAUUUUUCUGAGUGCACUGAACCAACUCCCGAGUCUCUAGGACAUUCCUAAAAAAAUUUGAUUUUUCCCAUAGGAAUGCAUGGGUUAGGGUUAGGGUUAGGGUUGGAGCUAGGGUUAGGGUUAGGGUUGGAGUUAGGGUUAGUGUUGGAGCUAGGGUUAGGGUUGGGCUUGGAGCUAGGAUUUUUCUGAGUGCAAUGAACCAACUCCCGAGUCUCUAGGACGUUCCUAAAAAAUUUGAUUUUUUCCCAUAGGAAUGCAUGGGUUAGGGUUAGGGUUAGGGUUGGAGCUAGGGUUAGGGUUAGGGUUAGGGUUGGAGUUAGGGUUAGUGUUGGAGCUAGGGUUAGGGUUGGGCUUGGAGCUAGGAUUUUUCUGAGUGCACUGAACCAACUCCCGAGUCUCUAGGACGUUCCUAAAAAAAUUUGAUUUUUUCCCAUAGGAAUGCAUGGGUUAGGGUUAGGGUUAGGGUUAGGGUUGGAGCUAGGGUUAGGGUUAGGGUUAGGGUUGGAGUUAGGGUUAGUGUUGGAGCUAGGGUUAGGGUUGGGCUUGGAGCUAGGAUUUUUCUGAGUGCACUGAACCAACUCCCGAGUCUCUCUAGGAGGCGUUCCUAAAAAAUUUGAUUUUUUCCCAUAGGAAUGCAUGGGUUAGGGUUAGGGUUAGGGUUAGGGUUGGAGCUAGGGUUAGGGUUAGGGUUAGGGUUGGAGUUAGGGUUAGUGUUGGAGCUAGGGUUAGGGUUGGGCUUGGAGCUAGGAUUUUUCUGAGUGCAAUGAACCAACUCCCGAGUCUCUUGGACGUUCCUAAAAAAAUUUGAUUUUUUUCCCAUAGGAAUGCAUGGGUUAGGGUUAGGGUUAGGGUUGGAGCUAGGGUUAGGGUUAGGGUUAGGGUUGGAGUUAGGGUUAGUGUUGGAGCUAGGGUUAGGGUUGGGCUUGGAGCUAGGAUUUUUCUGAGUGCACUGAACCAACUCCCGAGUCUCUAGGACAUUCCUAAAAAAAUUUGAUUUUUUCCCAUAGGAAUGCAUGGGUUAGGGUUAGGGUUAGGGUUGGAGCUAGGGUUAGGGUUAGGGUUAGGGUUGGAGUUAGGGUUAGUGUUGGAGCUAGGGUUAGGGUUGGGCUUGGAGCUAGGAUUUUUCUGAGUGCACUGAACCAACUCCCGAGUCUCUAGGACAUUCCUAAAAAAAUUUGAUUUUUUCCCAUAGGAAUGCAUGGGUUAGGGUUAUGGUUAGGGUUAGGGUUGGAGCUAGGGUUAGGGUUAGGGUUAGGGUUGGAGUUAGGGUUAGUGUUGGAGCUAGGGUUAGGGUUGGGCUUGGAGCUAGGAUUUUUCUGAGUGCACUGAACCAACUCCCGAGUCUCUAGGACGUUCCUAAAAAAUUUGAUUUUUUCCCAUAGGAAUGCAUGGGUUAGGGUUAUGGUUAGGGUUAGGGUUGGAGCUAGGGUUAGGGUUAGGGUUAGGGUUGGAGUUAGGGUUAGUGUUGGAGCUAGGGUUAGGGUUGGGCUUGGAGCUAGGAUUUUUCUGAGUGCACUGAACCAACUCCCGAGUCUCUAGGACAUUCCUAAAAAAAUUUGAUUUUUUUCCCAUAGGAAUGCAUGGGUUAGGGUUAGGGUUAGGGUUGGAGCUAGGGUUAGGGUUAGGGUUAGGGUUGGAGUUAGGGUUAGUGUUGGAGCUAGGGUUAGGGUUGGGCUUGGAGCUAGGAUUUUUCUGAGUGCACUGAACCAACUCCCGAGUCUCUAGGACAUUCCUAAAAAAAAAUUUGAUUUUUUCCCAUAGGAAUGCAUGGGUUAGGGUUAUGGUUAGGGUUAGGGUUGGAGCUAGGGUUAGGGUUAGGGUUAGGGUUGGAGUUAGGGUUAGUGUUGGAGCUAGGGUUAGGGUUGGGCUUGGAGCUAGGAUUUUUCUGAGUGCACUGAACCAACUCCCGAGUCUCUAGGACAUUCCUAAAAAAAAAUUGAUUUUUUCCCAUAGGAAUGCAUGGGUUAGGGUUAUGGUUAGGGUUAGGGUUGGAGCUAGGGUUAGGGUUAGGGUUAGGGUUGGAGUUAGGGUUAGUGUUGGAGCUAGGGUUAGGGUUGGGCUUGGAGCUAGGAUUUUUCUGAGUGCAAUGAACCAACUCCCGAGUCUCUAGGACAUUCCUAAAAAAAUUUGAUUUUUUCCCAUAGGAAUGCAUGGGUUAGGGUUAGGGUUAGGGUUGGAGCUAGGGUUAGGGUUAGGGUUGGGUUGGAGUUAGGGUUAGUGUUGGAGCUAGGGUUAGGGUUGGGCUUGGAGCUAGGAUUUUUCUGAGUGCAAUGAACCAACUCCCGAGUCUCUAGGACAUUCCUAAAAAAAUUUGAUUUUUUCCCAUAGGAAUGCAUGGGUUAGGGUUAGGGUUAGGGUUGGAGCUAGGGUUAGGGUUAGGGUUAGGGUUGGAGUUAGGGUUAGUGUUGGAGCUAGGGUUAGGGUUGGGCUUGGAGCUAGGAUUUUUCUGAGUGCAAUGAACCAACUCCCGAGUCUCUAGGACAUUCCUAAAAAAAAAUUUGAUUUUUUCCCAUAGGAAUGCAUGGGUUAGGGUUAUGGUUAGGGUUAGGGUUGGAGCUAGGGUUAGGGUUAGGGUUAGGGUUGGAGUUAGGGUUAGUGUUGGAGCUAGGGUUAGGGUUGGGCUUGGAGCUAGGAUUUUUCUGAGUGCAAUGAACCAACUCCCGAGUCUCUAGGACGUUCUAAAAAAAAUUUGAUUUUUUCCCAUAGGAAUGCAUGGGUUAGGGUUAUGGUUAGGGUUAGGGUUGGAGCUAGGGUUAGGGUUAGGGUUAGGGUUGGAGUUAGGGUUAGUGUUGGAGCUAGGGUUAGGGUUGGGCUUGGAGCUAGGAUUUUUCUGAGUGCAAUGAACCAACUCCCGAGUCUCUAGGACGUUCCUAAAAAAAUUUGAUUUUUUCCCAUAGGAAUGCAUGGGUUAGGGUUAGGGUUAGGGUUGGAGCUAGGGUUAGGGUUAGGGUUAGGGUUGGAGUUAGGGUUAGUGUUGGAGCUAGGGUUAGGGUUGGGCUUGGAGCUAGGAUUUUUCUGAGUGCAAUGAACCAACUCCCGAGUCUCUAGGACGUUCCUAAAAAAAAAUUUGAUUUUUUCCCAUAGGAAUGCAUGGGUUAGGGUUAGGGUUAGGGUUGGAGCUAGGGUUAGGGUUAGGGUUAGGGUUGGAGUUAGGGUUAGUGUUGGAGCCAGGGUUAGGGUUGGGCUUGGAGCUAGGAUUUUUCUGAGUGCACUGAACCAACUCCCGAGUCUCUAGGACAUUCCUAAAAAAUUUGAUUUUUUUCCCAUAGGAAUGCAUGGGUUAGGGUUAGUGGUUAGGGUUAGGGUUGGAGCUAGGGUUAGGGUUAGGGUUAGGGUUGGAGUUAGGGUUAGUGUUGGAGCUAGGGUUAGGGUUGGGCUUGGAGCUAGGAUUUUUCUGAGUGCAAUGAACCAACCCCCGAGUCUCUAGGACGUUCCUAAAAAAAUUUGAUUUUUUCCCUAUAGGAAUGCAUGGGUUAGGGUUAGGGUUAGGGUUGGAGCUAGGGUUAGGGUUAGGGUUAGGGUUGGAGUUAGGGUUAGUGUUGGAGCUAGGGUUAGGGUUGGGCUUGGAGCUAGGAUUUUUCUGAGUGCAAUGAACCA